rnacentral:rRNA from 1 species
UACGUAGGGUGCAAGCGUUUGUCCGGAAUCAUUGGGCGUAAAGCGCGCGUAGGUGGCCAUUUAAGUCCGCUGUGAAAGUCAAAGGCUCAACCUUUGAAAGCCGGUGGAUACUGGAUGGCUAGAGUACGGAAGAGGCGAGUGGAAUUCCUGGUGUAGCGGUGGAAUGCGCAGAUAUCGGGAAGAACACCCGUGGCGAAGGCGGCUCUCUGGGACGGUACUGACGCUGAGACGCGAAAGCGUGGGGAGCAAACAGG